AGGCUGCAGUGAGCUAUGAUCGUGCCACUGCACUCCAGCCUGAGUGACAGAGCAAGACCCUGUCUCA
rnacentral:miRNA from 1 species